CAAAUCGUGAGAAGGGGGAGUUGGGUCCUGUGAAACCCAUUUGCUUUGUUAACUGAUACUUGCUGAUGUUGGGCUUCUACCCUCCCACAGAGGUCAGGAGACAGCAGGCCUAUCUUCAAGUCUUGGCUGGGACAAGCAUGCUAUAGAUUGUCUGUGUACUUACAUAAGUUAUAUGUUGAAAUCAUAAACCCCAAUGUGAUGAUAUUGGGAGAGGAAGUCUUUGGGGGUUGAUUAGAUCAUGAGUGAUGAACUCAAGAAUGGCCUUAGUGACCUCAUAAAAGAGACUCCAGAGAGCUUUCUUGCCUCUUCUGCCAUGUGAGGGCACAGCAAGAAGACCAUGCUCUAUAAAUCAGAAAAUGGGUCCCUACAGACCAAACUGGCUGGCACCUUUAUUGUGGACUUUCCAAUCUGCGGAAAUUUUUUAUAGACCAAAGUUAAGGCUGAAUUGAGAAGGCUCAGAAGACCCUGGCUAGAGUUUCAUCAAGUUUAAAAUGAUCGUCAACUCUGUAUACAUCAAAAUUGAGUUCGGAAGCUGAUACUUACAGCAGUGGAGAUUAGCAAUACCUGGACAGAGUUGAGCUUCAAAGGACACUGAGAAAUGGCUAAAGCAGCGUGUCUCUGAGCAAGUUCCCCUGGCUCCACUAUCACACACUCAUCUGAGGGUAACUUUUCGUCACUAUUCAGCACUGAGGCCCAGAGUCUCCUCUAAGCUCCUUGUUUGAACUCAGAUGUCACAGAUAGAAUUAGUGUGUCCUUAUGAGCUGUAUCCUUCAUACUCUCUCAUCCCACCUGAUGAGAUAUACCCACAGGUGUGGAGGGGCAGGCCACACCUUCAUCUGGCACCCAACGUGGGUGCCUUUCUCUAUGGUGAAGGUAUGCUAAGAACAUGAGCAUUGAGGACAACUGAUGAGAGAUUCCUGAGUACGUCCACGGUCAGCCUUGUGGUAAGCUUGUGCACUCGGAGGAACCCAGGGUAACAAUGGGGCAAACUGAAAGUAAAUAUGCCUCUUAUCUCAGCCUCAUUAAAAUUCUCUUUAGAAGAGGGGGAGUUAAAACUUCUACAGAAAAUCUAAUUAUGCUAUUUCAAAUAAUAGAACAAUUCUGCCCAUGGUUUCCAGAACAGGGAACUUUAGAUUUAAAAGAUUGGGAAAAAAUUGGCAAAGAAUUAAAACAAGAAAUUAGGGAAGGUAAAAUCGUCCCACUUACAGUAUGGAAUGAUUGGGCCAUUAUUAAAGCAACUUUAGAACUGUUUCAAAUAGAAGAAGAUAGUGUUUCAGCUUCUGAUGCCCCUGAAAGCUGUGUAAUAGAUUGUGAAGAAGAGGCAGGGACAAAAUCCAGGAAAGGAAUGGAAAGUUCACAUUGUAAAAAUGCAGCAGAGUCUGUAAUGGCUCGGUCAAUGCAAAAUGUUGACUAUAAUCAAUUACAGGAGGUAAUAUAUCCUGAAACAUUAAGAUUAAAAGGAAAGAUCCAGAACCACUGGGGCCAUUGGAGCUAAAACCACAAUGGCCACCUCCUCUUCAGCCGAGUGAGUGCUGGGGGAGGGAGCCUGAAACUAGGCUUGCUGCAACUUGGCUCAUGGCACUCAUUAUUGCCCAACCUACAGUUCACUACAGUGAAGGAGCAAUUCUGACUCGCCCUGCAGCGUCCUGUGUGGGUCAAACAGUGGCCGCUAAGGAAAAGUUGGGGGUGCUACAUAAAAUAGUUAAAAAACUAUUUUAAAAAGGACACGUUUCACCCACUUUCUCUCUUUAGAAUUCUCCAGUGUUUGUAAUUCAGAAAAAUUCAGGCAGAUGGUGCAUGCUAACUGACUUAAGAGCCGUUAAUGUGGUAAUUCAACCCAUGGGGCCUCUCCAAACCUGGGCUGCCCUCUCUGGCCAUGAUUCCCAAACAUUGGCCUUUAAUUAUAAUUGAUCUAAAGGAUUUCUUUUUUACCAUUCCCCUGGCAAAAUGGGAUUUUGAAAAAUUUGCUUUUACUAUACCAGCCAUAAAUAAUAAAGAACAAGCCACCAGGUUUCAGUGGAAAGUGUUGCCUCACGGAAUGCUUAAUAGUCCAACUAUUCGUCAGACUUUUGUAGCUCAGGCUUUUCAACCAGUUAGAGACAAGUUUUCAGACUGUUAUUCAUUAUGUUGAUGAUAUUUUGUGUGCUGCAGAAAAGAGAGACAAAUUAAUUGACUAUUACACAUUUCUGCAGACAGAGGUUGCAAACGCAGGACUGACAAUAGCAUCUGAUAAGAUUCAGACCUCCACUCCUUUUCAAUAUUUGGGAAUGCAGAUAGAGGAAAGAAAAAUUAAACCACAAAAAAUAGAAAUAAAGACACAUCAAGAAUGUUAAAUGACUUUCAAAAAUUGCUAGGAGAUAUUAAUUGGAUUUGGCCAACUCUAGGCAUCCCUACUUAUGCCAUGUCAAAUUUGUUCUCUAUCUUGAGAGGGGAUCCGGACUUGAAUAGUAGAAGAACAUUAACUCCAGAGGCAACUAAAGAAAUUAAAUUAGUUGAAGAAAAACUUUGGUCAUCACAAGUAAAUAGAUCACUUAGCUCCACUACAACUUUUGAUUUUUGCUACCGUACGUUCUCCAACAGGCAUUGUUGUUCAAAAUACAGAUCUUGUGGAGUGGUCAUUUCUUCCUCACCAUACAAUUAAGACUUUUACAUUGUAUUUAGAUCAAAUGGCUACACUAAUUGGUCAGGCAAGACUACAAAUAGUAAAAUUGUGUGGAAGUGACCCAGAUAAAAUCAUUGUUCCUUUAAACAAGGAACAGGUUAGACAAGCCUUUAUCAAUUCUGCUGCAUGGCAGAUUGGUCUUGCUGAUUUUGUGGGAAUUAUUGAUAAUCAUUACCCAAAAACAAAAAUCUUCCAGUUUCUUAAAAUUGACUACUUGGAUUUUACCUAAAAUUACCAGACAGAAACCUUUAGAAAAUGCUCUGACAGUGUUUACUGAUGGUUCCAGCAAUGGAAAAGCAGCUUACACUGGGCCAAAAGAAUGAGUCAUUGAAAAUAUCACUCAGCUCAAAGAGCAGAGUUGGUUGCUGUCAUUUCAGUGUUACAAGAUUUUAAUCAGCCUAUUAACAUUGUUUCAGAUGCUCCAUAUGUAGUGCAGGCUACAAAGGAUGUUGAGACAGCCCUAAUCAAAUAUAGUAUGGAUGAUCAAUUAAAUCGGCUGUUUAAUUUGUUACAAUAAACUGUAAGAAAAAGAAAUUUCACAUUUUAUAUUAGUCAUAUUCAAGCACAUACUAAUUUACCAGGGUCUUUAACUAAGCCAAAUGAACGAGCUGACUUGCUAGUAUCAUCUGCCUUCAUAAAAACACAAGAACUUCACGCCCUGACUUAUGUAAAUGCAACAGGAUUAAAAAAUAAAUUUGAUAUCACAUGAAAACAGGCAAAAAAUAUUGUACAACAUUGUACUCAGUGUUAAGUCCUACACCUGCCCACUCAGGAGGUAGGAGUUAUUCCCAGAGGUUUAUGUGCUAAUGCAUUAUGGCAAAUGGAUGUCACACAUGUACCUUCAUUUGGAAAAUUUUCAUUUGUCCAUGUGACAGUUGAUACUCAUUCACAUUUCAUAUGGGCAACCUGUCAGACAGGAGAAAGUACUUCCCAUGUUAAAAGACAUUUAUUAUGUUGUUUUGCUGUCAUGGGAGUUCCAGAAAAAAUUAAAACAGAUAAUGGGCCAGGAUACUGUAAUAAAGCAUUUCAAAAAUUCUUAAAUCAGUGGAAAAUUACACAUACAACAGGAAUCCUUUAUAAUUCCCAAGGACAGGCCAUAAUUGAAAGAACUAACAGAACACUCAAAGCUCAAUUGGUUAAACAAAAAAAGGAAAAAUAGAGUAAGGAGUAUAACACUCCCCAGAUGCAACUUAAUCUAGCAUUCUAUUCUUUAAGUUUUUUAAACAUUUAUAGAAAUCAGACCACUACUUCUGCAGAACAUUUUACUGGUAAAAAGAACAGCCCACAUGAAGGAAAACUGAUUUGGUGGAAAGACAACAAAAAUAAAACAUGGGAAAUAGGGAAGGUGAUAACAUGGGGGAGAGGUUUUGUUUCACCAGGAAAAAAUCAGCUUCCAGUUUGGGUACUUAGAACUUACAGAAGAAGUUGCCAUCCACCAAGAAAGUGGAGCCGCCGACCUGGGCCCAGCUAAAGCAGCUGACACAGUUAGCUGAAAAAAGCCUGAAGAACACAAGAGUAACACAAACUCCAGAGAAUAUGCUGCUUGCAGCUUUAAUGAUUGUAUCAACGAUGUUACAGUGUGACUGGAAUACGUCAGAUUUUUGUAUUACACCUCGAGCCUAUAAUGAAUCUGAACAUCACUGGGACAUGGUUAGACGCCAUCUACAAGGAAGAGAAGAUAAUCUUACCUUAGUCUACAGGUACACCCAGCAGCUCCAGAGAGACAGUGACCAGUGAGAAUGGACCAUGACGACGAUGGUGGUUUUGUCAAAAAGAAAAGGGGGAUAUGCAGGGAAAAGAGAGAGAAAUCACACUGUUACUGUGUCUAUGUAGAAAGGGAAGACAUAAGAGAUUCCAUUUUGACCUGUAUCAAACAAUUGCUUUGCUGAGAUGUUGUUAAUCUGUAACUUUUCCCCAGCCACUUUGCCCCAACCUUGACCUCACAAAAACAUGUGUUGUAUAGAAUCAAGGUUUAAGGGAUCUAGGGCUGUGCAGGACAUGUCUUGUUAACAAAAUGUUUACAAGCAGUAUGCUUGGUAAGUCAUCGCCAUUCUCUAGUCUCGAUAAACCAGGGGGGCACAAUGCAGUGCAGAAAGCUGCAGGGACCUCUGCCCUGGAAAGCCGGGUAUUGUCCAAGGUUUCUCCCCAUGUGAUAGUCUGAAAUACAGCCUCGUGGGAUGAGAAAGACCUGACCGUACCCCAGCCCGACACCCGUGAAGGGUCUGUGCUGAGGUGGAUUAGUAAAAGAGGAAAGCCUCUUGCAGUUGAGAUAGAGGAAGGCCACUGUUUCCUGCCUGCCCCUGGGAACUGAAUGUCUCCGUAUAAAACCCGAUUGUACAUUUGUUCAAUUCUGAGAUAGGAGAAAAAUCGCCCUAUGGUGGGAGACGAGACAUGUUGGCAGCAAUGCUGCCCUGUUAUUCUUUAUUCCACUGAAAUGUUUGGGUGGAGAGAAACAUAAAUCUGGCCUACAUGCACAUCCAGGCAUAGUACCUCCCCUUGAACUUAAUUAUGACAUGGAUUCUUUUGCUCACAUUUUUUUUGGUACCUUCUCAUUAUCACCCUGCUGUCCUACUGCAUUCCUCUUGCUGAGAUAAUGAAAACAAUAAUCAAUAAAAACUGAGGGAACUCAGAGACUGGUGC